rnacentral:lncRNA from 1 species
ACUCACAAACUGAAUAAAAGUCCGAAGGACUUUUAUGUUGAGUUUGUGAGUAAGAGCCCCGGUUUACACAUCAAUAACCUCUAGAAAAAAUGUGUUUAAUCCUUAUAAUUCUUCAGCCAAACAUUUGUGAUAUUUAAUAAACAUUUGUUUUUGUUGAUGGCUACUAUAUAUAUUUACCAUCAAAAGCACAAUGGCAAGUCGUAACUAAGAAGUACGCCGCCAUCUUGACUUUCUAAAAACCAUAAAUGUCCGAUAAAUACAACGGAAUCUUAAAUGAAAUAGCACCUACCUCAAAAACUUCAUUUUAAUUAAAUGUUAUCCGAAUUUGAAGCGUACACGUAACAAAAUAAUCUUUCCCUUGCAAAUUUCCAUUCGUAUGACGUCGUGUUUUGCCAUGACGUAAAUUCGCCAAAUCCUUCAUGAAAUUUCGCGGAAUUUAUUAAAUUUUAUUUUUAUACAUUUUCGAAGCUUUAGUGCUUUCAAUUUAUUUCUUUUUUUUGUUAUAUAUGCACUAGAAUAGUCACAAC